AGGCAUGCGGGUUUUUGUACUCUUCCCGACACAAGUCAAUACUCAAAGCUCAUUAAAAAUGCCAAGCUUGCACAGCCAUAAAGUUGUAGAAUUUAUUUCGAAGUAUGUUUUUAAUAUCACACGAAAAUUGAAAUUUUAACGAUUUUUGUAUUUUUUGAAGUGCAAAAAUCAGAGACACCAAGACGACGAGUUUAAUUAGAUGCAGAACAAGUAUUCCAUUGGAGCCGUGUAGAAAGCAUUGAACUGCAUUUAUUUUAGAAGUAUUUGUAAAUAAGUAUAACAGUCUACUUGAGUACAAAUAAUUGUGCAAGCAAGGCAAAAAUGCUUAACUCGAUUUUUGAAAAUUUUGAAAAAAAAAAAAAUUCGGCAAGUGUCAAUUUCAUUACUCAGAAUCCAAUUUGAUGUUAAUUGAUAUUAAAUACGCAGAAAUUUAGUUAUGUUGAGUCAUAUUGUUGUUGUUGUAAGCCACUUGAACCAUAGGCUGAUCUUGUUUCUAUUCUUAAUAAUUGAAAAUUUAUUUGCUGAAGGGUUGCAAAUAUGAGCAAAUAACAUACAUACAUUAUAAGAAAAUAUUUAUAUAGAGAGAUAUGUGCCUAAAACAACGUCAACAACUCAUGCAUGCAACAAAUUCCAUAUAUUAAAUUAACAUUAAUUAAGCUAUAUCAGCCAUAACAAAUGUGGAAGUGCGAAUAUAAAUUCAUACAUACAUACAUACAUACUUACACUUCAAUGCCUAUCAAACGUUUAUAUAAGAAAGUAACUAAAGUCAAGUGAAUAUGAGCAAGUCGACUAAAUACAGUGCUGCGCAGAAAUUAGGCAACGUUCAUAAGUAAUUAUACUUUCAGUAGAAACAGUUGGAGGGCUAAAACAAAUUAUCUGGGAAGGUUACGUACCUAAAGAUUCAAGAUUUAUAUAAAAAUCGCUGUGUCGUUUACGUUUUUCCCUCUAAGAGUCUCCGUAUAUUUGUCGCUAAUAGAUACCCGGUGUACAUCAUACUAUGAAUGAAGCCUUGUGAGAGUAGACCAACACUAACUCAAAAUCAGUAAAGGGGAUAUAUGCAUGCCGUUGGACACUUGUAGACACUUAAUUGAUAAGUGGGUCAUAGAUUGGGCUGAAUUCCGGUGGAUAGAAUCUAUGACUUGCUCAGCUAGCAGGCAAACGUGGUCUGAUUGGAAUAAAGGCAUCAUUAUCCUCUAUUGUAGUGUAAGUGGAUUCUAGUCCCGGAUAAUUCACAAUGGGCCUCCGAAAGACCUAGGUGCGUCAUCUGUCAAUUCGUCUAAGAAAUGUUAAUAUUUUUCUAUGGCUUUUCGUUCACUAUGUGAUUAGCCUAGAUUAUUGUAUGAAAGAUAUUUCAAAACAAAUAAUCGAAAUUACAUGAAAAUGAAAUUAUACAUGAACGACCAAAAUGGAGGAAAGUAGCGUAAAAAAUUAUAAAAUUUUUAAUACUAUAUUUGGUUCCAAAAUAUUUUACGUGUCUUGUAGAAUCAAUUUUACGGAAAUCUACAAUAUUUUGUUUCUCGAAAUAAUAAAAAAAGGUUAUUCUUAAUUUUCACCCAAUACUGUACGCAUUUUUUACAAAGCUCCUCUUCCAUACAGUACAUUUAUUUGCAUAUUUAUCUUGUUAUUGUAACAUUACGGCGCGCAAUAUAGAGAAAUGCGAUAUCAAGUUGAGAAUGUAGCGCAAAAAUUAAAUUAAUGACGCAUCCAUUUAGCACACGAACACACUGACCGAAGGGAUUGCUAUAAAUGCCGUCAAGUGGCGACUGUCACUGAUGCGACUGACUGAGAUUGUCAACAGAACGGGAAAUGGGGAUAAUAAAAUGAAAAUAAACUCAGUGCAAGUAAAAUUAGUUUGAAGACAUGAGAGGAACUGCGCAUAAACCAGAGAUGUCAUAAAAACUAUGCAAUUAAUACUCGUAGGUAACCAAAUGCUGCGCGUGUACACCAUUACUAGCUUUCAUAUACGAGUAUAUUAUAUAUCCGAGUUAUUUUAAGGUAUGGGGGUAAGAGCUGCGUAGCAAAUGAAAGAAAAGUUCCAUAAAGUUAGUGGUUGAGAAAUUUCUAAUUAUUAUACAUGGAAGUUGAGAACCAGGCAAACAUAAUCUUACGAAAUAUUUUUGAAACGUUUUAAGGUUUUAUGCAUUUAUCCUAGAGUGUUCUUCAGACCAGUUAGAAGGCCUCUCGUGAUCUAUGGCAAUUAUAGCGGUGAAUAAGAAAGAUAGAGUCAUACGAAAGCUAAACUACUUCAUCUCUCGAGACAGUACUAGAAUAUUGUGCCUGUAACUGAUAGUUUUAUACUCCCGAAAAACACAAGAAGAGUAAUAAUGUUUAUUUUAGUAGAAUUGCGUUCUCCAAAACAUUAUUUCGUCAUUACCAAACAACAGUUACUCAAAAAACUUGAUCCACGUCAAACCUGAAAUAUUUUGCACAAAGUAAUCAAUAUUUUUUUUUUUCGAAAUGCAAUAAUUCAUUUCAAGAAGAACCGCUAUUAGCCUUGUACUAACACGAAUCCUAAUAAAUUAUACACGAUGAAAUGUGCAAUCAAAUCGAUAAUGUAAAACCUGCCUCUACUAUAUUAUUCGCACUUUGUUCCGGUGUUUAUUUUUUGAAAUUAUUUUUUUUUUGUUUUUAUUUGAAAAAUUCAACUUUGGCUUACGAAUUUGUGGACAAGUGACGCAAAACUAACCAGUUUGAAAUAAUUUUUUUUUUGCAAAUGUAAAAGGCACACGCCAAUGCCAAAUUUUAAAUGACGCAAAAUAAAGUUGAUGCUGAAAUUUUGAGAAUUUAAGAAUUGCUAAGAAGAAUGGAAUCAUAUAAAGCAUAAAAAAUUGUUGGCUGAAGAUAUUUUUGGUUAUACAAGAAUAAGUGAUAAUAUGCUCACGAAUUACCCAUUGCUUUCUUAAAAUAAUCCACGUAAUUUUGGUCAUUUAAUUAUUUCAGUCACAAAUUGGGAUCUUCGAAGCAAUAAAGAGAAACUCUUCUUCAUUCAUGCAUAUAAUAUUAGAAACAGUCUCUCAGGCCAAUACAGUGAUUCCUAUGCACCUGGUAGGUCACGACCGAGGCGGUCGUAAACUACGCCGUUCCUAUAUGGUCUUUUGGAUGCAGUAGGGCGGAGUUAAGGAAGCUACAAAAUUGUCAGAACACCGCUUUCCAGACUGCCACAGGUUGCAUUGUGAGGUCUCCGGUCGUACACCUAUACAACGAGGCCCGUAUGCUGAAUCUGUUAAGGAGCAGUUUAUAUGUUUUCACAAAAAGCAUUGCGCAACUUCGUUCUGUAUACUGUAGUAUAUUAAACUCCCACCUAUCCAGACUGAACCCCGACAUACCCAAUAUAUGUCCUGCAUACAAAGAGUCCCCGCAUUACACAAAUCACCUCUUUGCAUGCCCAAUUAACCCCAUCCAUUCCUUUUGGUUCGACCUCGUCGAAACAGGUCGUUUCCUGGAUCCCCCGUACUUUAAUUUUAAUUUGUAUCGUUCAAGACGCGGGCACUUAAGUUUUAGAAGUAGAAUUGAAUCAAAUAAAUGACAGAAAACCAGAUCCAAAUUCAAACCAGAUCCAUAUUGCAUAUAAUUUCAAGAUUUCGAGAUCCCGAGAUUGUCCAUUUUAGAUACCGAAAAAACGGGACUCACAAAUUUGAAUUAUAAAGCUUAUUAUCGCCGUACUCUCAGCUCAUAAUAAACAAUUUUUUCCUAACAUGAUUUAUAACAAAGUUAACCUUUUUAGCUUGAUAAGGUUAAAUUAAUCUGAAAAUAGGCCUCAAAUUUACAUAUAAAAUAUACAAAUAUACAUUUUUGCACUUCAAAUUAAAAUUGAUAACAAAUGUGCAAUUCCACAAAUAUAUAAUACAGAUAUAUAUGCGCUAAUUGCCAGCAAGUGUGUGAGUGAGUGCAAUUAUAAUCUGUGAAUUCACAAGUCAACCUAGAUUACUUUGCUAAUAAAUAAAUAAGUGAGAAAAAGCGUACAUAUUUUGUGUAAACGAUUGACGUAGUCGCAUAAAUCGUAAGAAAUCAAUGGAAAAGUGGAAGACCUCAACACAUAAAGCAUAUCAAUAAAGGCCAAUAACUGAUAAGUCACUUUGUAACAAGUGCCACUUCAAAGCACAUUCCAACGCACAUGACCGCAUUUUUUGCAAGGAAAACACACGCAGGAACAACAACAAUAUUUAGCAAUAUUUACAGUUCAAUUACAUUAAAAAACACAAACAAAUAUAAUAUUUCGUAACUUGCAUACCAAAAAGUGAGUGUUUGUAUUAUAAAGAUAGCGAUUUUAUUGAACUGAAAGUGAAUUGCUACUUGCU